UACGAGGGGGGCAAGCGUUGUCCGGAGUUACUGGGCGUAAAGCGCUUGUAGGCGGUCCACCAAGUUUGGGGUGACAGUUGCCGACUUAAUCGGCAAAGUGCCUCAAAGACUGGCGGACUUGAGGGCCACAGAGGGACAUGGAACUCCAGGUGUAGUGGUGAAAUGCGUAGAUAUCUGGAAGAACACCAAAGGCGAAGGCAGUGUCCUGGGUGGUCGCUGACGCUGAGAGGCGAAAGCCAGGGGAGCGAACGGG
rnacentral:rRNA from 1 species